rnacentral:rRNA from 2 species
CUGGAACGCGCCCCGGCGCACCCAGAAACCCUUUGUGAACUUAUACCUUACUGUUGCCUCGGCGCAGGCCGGCCUCUUAGCUGAGGCCCCCCGGAGACGGGGAGCAGCCCGCCGGCGGCCAAGUUAACUCUUGUUUCUACCAUGAAUCUCUGAGUAAAAAAACAUAAAUGAAUCAAAACUUUCAACAACGGAUCUCUUGGUUCUGGCAUCGAUGAAGAACGCAGCGAAAUGCGAUAAGUAAUGUGAAUUGCAGAAUUCAGUGAAUCAUCGAAUCUUUGAACGCACAUUGCGCCCUCUGGUAUUCCGGAGGGCAUGCCUGUUCGAGCGUCAUUUCAACCCUCAAGCCUGGCUUGGUGUUGGGGCACUGCUUCGAGAGAAGCAGGCCCUGAAAUCUAGUGGCGAGCUCGCUAGGACCCCGAGCGUAGUAGUUAUAUCUCGUUCUGGAAGGCCCUGGCGGUGCCCUGCCGUUAAACCCCCAACUUCUGAAAAU